UACGAAGGGUGCAAGCGUUACUCGGAAUUACUGGGCGUAAAGGGUGCGUAGGUGGUUGUUUAAGUCUGUUGUGAAAGCCCCGGGCUCAACCUGGGAAUGGCAAUGGAUACUGGACAGCUAGAGUACGGUAGGGGCAGAGGGAAUUUCCGGUGGAGCGGUGAAAUGCAUUGAGAUCGGAAAGAACACCAACGGCGAAAGCACUCUGCUGGGCCGACACUGACACUGAGAGACGAAAGCUAGGGAGCAAAUGGG
rnacentral:rRNA from 1 species